UACGUAGGGGGGCUAGCGUUGUCCGGAAUCAUUGGGCGUAAAGCGCGCGUAGGCGGCCCAGUAAGUCCGUUGUAAAAGUCAAAGGCUCAACCUUUGAAAGCCGAUGGAUACUGCUGGGCUAGAGUCCGGAAGAGGCGAGUGGAAUUCCUGGUGUAGCGGUGGAAUGCGCAGAUAUCAGGAGGAACACCGAUAGCGAAGGCAGCUCGCUGGGACGGUACUGACGCUGAGGCGCGAAAGCGUGGGGAGCGAACAGG
rnacentral:rRNA from 1 species